ACACAAGCUCGCGUUCAGGUACGGGCGCAGGUCGAAACACGCCGAAGAUACGAUCGAGACAGCAAGCAGCAUGUGCACCCCAACCUGUGCAGCAUCGGAGUGCGUUGCAGCUAGCAUCCGGUGGCUCGACUACGCCAGCGCAACUCUAAACCCAGAUCGACUACCAGAACACGCCGUACACCUGGGCGAGCUGCUCGCCCUUUUGCGUAGCGCGCAGUCGCCGCCGUCAACGCUGCAAGAUGAGUGGAGCGCACAGGUGUGGGCCAUGGCAGGGGAGCCGUACCUCGUGUACCUCCUUCGCUGCCUCGCUCACCAGAGCGGUCUGACGCAGCUUUCGCCGCACUUUGUCGUGCCGACCACCGAGAUCGACAACGACGACGGUGUCGCGGUCGCUGCCGUGACCGCAGGGAACUCCGCAAACCAUCCAUCUCGCCUGUUCUGGGAGCGGUGUGUGGUGGUGGGUGUGCGGGUGGAGCCCACGACGAAGAACCUCCUGCAGACCGGCUGGGAGACGCAGCCAUGUCCGCAUUGCGUGGUUCGAGAAGGAGCAGCGGCAGAUGCGCAUGAUGGUCCUAGCAGGCGACAGCGAUUGUGUGUGCUGCCGCUCCUGUACGGAGGAACUCAGUGCGGCGAGUGCGGCCAUGCGCUCCCACUGGUGCCGACGUGGACUCGUGCCCUCUACUUGGUGCUGCAGCGCCGCGAUCGCAGCCGCGCAGCAGCUGUCGCGUACGGCGAGGAGGUGCACCGCCACCUAUGGCUGGGAGUGGCAAUCGAUGCUCUCCUUUACACAUCCGCAACGGAGAAGCAACAGCAGCUUCUCGUGGUGCACGCUGCUGCUGCACCGGCACGGGCUGCUCCGUCGGCCACGCUGCCAUGCGCCGAAACCACGAAGGGAGCACUUCACAUCUUUUGCCAGGACGAGCAUGUUAGCCGCCUGGCCCUAAAGUGGGGAGACGGCACUGCCUUCUACGCGGCAGCCAAUCUCCACGACGUGGCCCGUCGCGUUGCCCCGCAGCUGCAGGGGCAGGCGCACAUCAAGGAACUCCUCCUAUUAGUAGUGCUGUACAUCGUGUAUCAUGCAAGCCAUCCGGAGGCGGCUGGGUCGCAUCGGCACCCACUGCACGUGCUGCUCGUAGGGCCAGCGAAGACGGGCAAAAGUGCGCUGCUGCGGGAGGUGGCGCAGCUUAUCGGGUUGGAGGCAGAGGUGCUUGAGGCCACCGUAGUGCGAACUGGCGGUAGCGGCGGUGCUGCCGGUGGCUCCUCGUUCUCCGCUGCCCUUCCUAUGCGACGCAGUGCCGUCCUCAUGGCAGGCUCCGGCAUGACCGCCUCCACGCUGGUGCUGGACCAACUCCCUUCUACCGCAGCCGGCGCCGCUGCUAUGGCGCCGCUACUGGAGGCGAUGGAGCGCGGGCACGGCUGCGGCGCAGCGGGCGGAGAAGAAGGCGCCGCUGCUGGAGGUCCCGAUGUUCAUCAGCUCCCGUCAACCAUCAUCGCUGCUGCCGGUGAAGAGAGUGCAGCAGCCGUGCAACUAGCGCCUUACUUCUCGCUAAUCGCCGCCGUAGCGCCAACGAACUCGCUCGAUGACACUGCGAUCAUCAGCCAAGACGUCGUCGCCGCGUCGAGGGCGAGAUCGUCGCACAGCAGGGCGACGUCACGCAGCAUGUCGCGGGCAACACAGCUGUCAGCAUCGUCGCCACACCACUCUCAGAGCGGCCCAUCCGUCUCGCAGAGCACUUCUCGCAGAAUCGAUCCCAGUGCCCUAUCAGAGCGACUGACUCAUGACGACGUGCGCUAUUUUGUCCGACGCGCUGCGGAGCCUGCACUGCUGAGCAGCGUGGUGAGCCACGCCGCGUGCUACGACGCGUUCAUUGGCAAGCUGGUGGAUUGCGCAGGGCUGCUGGAAGAAGCACAACCGUCGGUCUGCCACGCUCUCCCGCCUCCCUCUGCGUGCCGCGGACAGCAUCGCAUCGGUCAUCCCUCGGCGGCCAGCGACUCCCUGCGUGCGGCGCCUCUGGCCAUCGAUGAACACCUGCGCAUCUUGUGCGCUCUCUCCCGGGCCCGGGUACUGCUGGAGCGCGCGGAGCUCCUCCGUGACGCCGGCUGGACGGCGCAGAUGCGCGACGAAGUCUGGGCGCUCUAUCAUGGCCACCUUGUCGCCUUUGCUGAUCUGAUACAGCGUCGCAGCUGUGGUUCAGGGGCCAUGGCAUCCCGCGACCCAGCUGAGGUGCUUCGCAUGACUUCGUGGCAGUCCUCGUUUUUCGACGCCUGCGGCGGCAGCACAGCUGCACCCGCACCCGCAGGCUAUCCGCCUCCCAGUCGAUUCAGCGGUGAUGCUGCGGCUCUGGGAAGGGAGUGGAAAGGUGGGAUGUGUGCGAUGUCAUCACGCGAAGGACGGGGCCUUUGGCAUCCGCAGAAGACGCCCUCGAAGAAGCGAUGCCGACUGAUGUUUGUCGACGCGCUUCGCCAGCGUCAGCGUCUCUCAGCCCCGGUGGAGGGCGCCGUUCCUCCGUCGGAAGUAGAGCACCUCUUCGGGCUACUCGGUGGCAGCAGCGCCUUUGGUGAUCCGCUUGAUGUCGUGAUCAGCCAGAUGCAGGAGGAAGGACUACUCCUUCGCCGACCUGGCGGGUGGCGUUCCCUGUAGGAAUGCGGCGGUUGCAUGGCUGUGUCAUACAUGCCGACCACCACGCGUCAUCACCGCGAGCGCAGCUUGCCGGACACCGGCUACAGCCGCUUCUGUUGUUGUCGCGUUCUUUGUGUGUCUGUGUGUGUGUGUGUGUGUGUGUGGUGUGUGCUUGCCGGCUUCUGCUGCGUCUCUCUGCUCUCCUCCUCCUAACAGACUUCUUUUCUUCGCCAUACAAGCAGCCAUCUUCUUCGUCCUUUCUCUCCCUAUUCUCCACCCUUCCUCUCUCCCUCCCCCCUGCCAUCGCCGCCGCCGGCCCGACCCGCCCCGUUCCGCACAAGCAGCGUGGCAUCUAUUCAUGCACGCUCUUUGUUUUCGGCUUUUCUCUUCUUGUGCUGUUCAAUCGCACCUUCCCGCUCCUGCUGCGCUCCUCGCAAGAGACAGCAAGCAAGCAAUAUGGUACCCGAUGGAGAGAGUGAGAGGGGAGAAGACGAAGUACGAGUUAGUUUCGCGAGUCGCCCUCGACAUACGUGCCCUUACCACCGCUGCCGGAGACAUGGAGACUUCGCAAACGAAGCGCCGUCACGGGAUCAGAGCGGUGUCUCUGAGCCGAAAGGCCGCAAUGAGAAGCUGCUUGCCGCUUCAUGUGGGCAAGGCUUCUGUUUCCGCCAUCAGUGCUGCUGCUGCUGCUGCUCCUUCCUCUCAACUUUCGUGCGACUUUUUUUUCGCUUUUGUGUUUCACGUCCUGUCCUGUCCGGUUGGCGCGUCUCUCGGUGCAUGUCGUGUCGUCAUACUCUCCCAUGGCGGCGCCAAUGCACCCACGCGCACACUCGCCCGCCGCUAUCGAUAG
rnacentral:misc_RNA from 1 species